CCUACGUGAGGCAGCAGUGAGGAAUAUUGGUCAAUGGGCGCGAGCCUGAACCAGCCAAGUAGCGUGAAGGAUGACUGCCCUACGGGUUGUAAACUUCUUUUAUAAAGGAAUAAAGUGAGGCACGUGUGCCUUUUUGUAUGUACUUUAUGAAUAAGGCUCGGCUAACUCCGUGCCAGCAGCCGCGGUAAUACGGAGGAUCCGAGCGUUAUCCGGCUUUAUUGGGUUUAAAGGGAGCGUAGAUGGGUUGUUAAGUCAGUUGUGAAAGUUUGCGGCUCAACCGUAAAAUUGCAAGUGAUACUGGCAGUCUUGAGUACAGUUGAGGUAGGCGGAAUUCGUGGUGUAGCGGUGAAAUGCUUAGAUAUCACGAAGAACUCCGAUUGCGAAGGCAGCUUACUAAACUGCCACUGACAUUGAUGCUCGAAAGUGUGGGUAUCAAACAGGAUUAGAUACCCUUGUAGUC
rnacentral:rRNA from 1 species